rnacentral:tRNA from 1 species
AAAAAUUUAGUUAAAAAAUAACAUUAGUCCGUCAAACUAAAAUUGUAAAAUUACAAUUUUUG